AAACUUUCAACAACGGAUCUCUUGGUUCUGGCAUCGAUGAAGAACGCAGCGAAAUGCGAUAUGUAAUGUGAAUUGCAGAAUUCAGUGAAUUAUCGAAUUUUUGAACGCACAUUGCCCGCCAGCAUUCUGGCGGGCAUGCCUGUUCGAGCGUCAUUU
rnacentral:rRNA from 1 species